rnacentral:rRNA from 1 species
AACGAACGCUGGCGGCAGGCCUAACACAUGCAAGUCGAGCGAAGCCUUCGGGCUUAGCGGCGGACGGGUGAGUAACGCGUGGGAACGUGCCCUUUGGUACGGAAUAGCCCCGGGAAACUGGGAGUAAUACCGUAUGUGGCCGAGAGACGAAAGAUUUAUCGCCAAAGGAUCGGCCCGCGUUGGAUUAGGUAGUUGGUGGGGUAAUGGCCUACCAAGCCGACGAUCCAUAGCUGGUUUGAGAGGAUGAUCAGCCACACUGGGACUGAGACACGGCCCAGACUCCUACGGGAGGCAGCAGUGGGGAAUCUUAGACAGUGGGGGAAACCCUGAUCUAGCCAUGCCGCGUGAUCGAUGAAGGCCUUAGGGUUGUAAAGAUCUUUCAGUGGGGAAGAUAAUGACUGUACCCACAGAAGAAGCCCCGGCUAACUCCGUGCCAGCCGCCGCCGUAAGAC